rnacentral:rRNA from 1 species
UACAGAGGUCCCGAGCGUUAGGCGGAAUCACUGGGCUUAAAGCGUGUGUAGGCGGGUCGUUAAGUGUCCGUGUGAAAUCCCACCGCUCAACGGUGGAACCGCCGGGCAUACUGGCGAUCUUGAGCAGUCCAGGGGCGAGCGGAACAAGCGGUGGAGCGGUGAAAUGCGUAGAUAUCGCUUGGAACGCCGACGGUGAAAACAGCUCGCUGGGGACUCGCUGACGCUGGAGAACACGAAAGCCAGGGGAGCGAACGGG